rnacentral:lncRNA from 10 species
GUUUUUUUUGAUGUUAUUUGUUUGAACUGCUGCCUGGGGCUUAGAAAAGUGACUUGGAUAUUUUGUCAAAAUGGAUUUUCUUUGAUGGAAUGUGAAAUCCGUAAACACUCUGCUUUCCUGCUGUAUCCCCAGAGCAGCCUCAUUUGGCCACAGGCCCAGUGUCAACACCAGGGGGCGCCACAGACCAUGAAGGCACCGUGCAGCUGGGAUUGUUUGUGGUCGGCUACUGGGUCCCUGACUUAACCAGGGGAGCCAAGACCCUGUAGCCAAGUGGCCUGGAUUCAACCUGCAGCUCAGGUCUUACUGACACUUCUCCCCCUGGUGCCUCAGUUUCUUAAUCUGUGAAAUGGUGAGGACAUUACAGCAUUUACCUCUGGGGCGGGUUUCUCAACAGCAGCACUAUUAACAAUUUGGGACAGAGAAUCUUGUGGAGUGGUCUGUCCUGUGCAUUGUGGGAGGUUUGCCAGCAACACCCCACUCACCCCCUCCCACCAAUCCCCAUGUGACAACCGAAAAUGUCCCAGGAUUUUUAGGUCUCCCUUGGGUCUAGAAGCUGCACUUAGGCAUUUUCCCACCUGACACUUGAGUUCAUCUCUGCUUUGGUCCACAUAAGGCCACUUUAAAAAAAUGUUGUUUCUUUAAAGAUUCUAACCAUCUUUUAAACAAAUCCAUUUUCUUCCUCUAUUUCUGCAUUCAGUUAAUCCUUCCAAACCCUUUGUUUAGUAUAUCUUGAAAUGUAUCAAUUCCUGUUCUAGUAAUUAACAUAUGUGACUUGCAUGAUAUCUGCUAUGACCCUUAGUAGAGCUCUGAUUCCUUUAGCACAGGGAAUGUGUUCUCGAUUCUGCUCUGGAUGAUGUAAAUCAAUUUAUUUUACUUUACUUGUCUGGGAUGUUGCUCCUCAUCUGUAAGAUGUAAAUGUGGAUAUGGCUUGGAUUACUAAGUGGUUUUAUUUCUUAAUUCACCUGACAUUUGUUGUGUGCCUGCUGCAAGUCAAAUACAUGGCAUGGUAUUGUUUCCUUGUUCACACCACAGCAAAUGAGAAAAUGAGACAUUAUAGCCAGGUGUGGCGGCACAGGCUUGUGGUCCUAGCUACUCGGAAGGCUGAGGCAGGAGAAUUGCUCCAGCCCAGGAGUUUGAGGUUACAGUAAGGUAUGAUAUCACCAUUGCAUUUCAACCUGGGCAACAGACCCUGUCUCUGAAAAAAGGGAAAAAGACCUUGUGAGCUGUCUACGUGUACUCUAUGUCUCAGGAGACUCAUAUCCUGUAAUUUUUCUAAAUGGCGUCUCCAUGUGGUCUUUCAUGAAUGUUUG